rnacentral:SRP_RNA from 1 species
UGCUGGUUACUUCGCAAUAUGACGUCGUGAACCCCGCCAGGACCGGAAGGUAGCAACGGUAGCGACUGUGGUAUGUGCCGAAGCAUUGCUAGUGGGG